AGUGAACGCUGGCGGCAGGCCUAACACAUGCAAGUCGAGCGGCAGCGCGGGGGCAACCCUGGCGGCGAGCGGCGGACGGGUGAGGAAUUCGUCGGAAUCUGCCUUUUUGUGGGGGAUAACGUAGGGAAACUUACGCUAAUACCGCAUACGUCCUACGGGAGAAAGUGGGGGACCGCAAGGCCUCACGCAGAAAGAUGAGCCGACGACCGAUUAGCUAGUUGGUGGGGUAAAGGCCCACCAAGGCGACGAUCGGUAGCUGGUCUGAGAGGAUGAUCAGCCACACUGGGACUGAGACACGGCCCAGACUCCUACGGGAGGCAGCAGUGGGGAAUAUUGGACAAUGGGCGCAAGCCUGAUCCAGCCAUGCCGCGUGUGUGAAGAAGGCCUUCGGGUUGUAAAGCACUUUCGUCCGGAAAGAAAUCCCUGGAGCUAAUACCUUCGGGGGAUGACGGUACCGGAAGAAUAAGCACCGGCUAACUUCGUG
rnacentral:rRNA from 1 species